AGCAGCCGCGGUAAUUCCAGCUCCAAUAGCGUAUAUUAAAGUUGUUGCAGUUAAAAAGCUCGUAGUUGAAUUUCGGGGUCAGUAGAUUGGUCAUGCCAUUGGUAUGCACUGGUCUUACUGGCUCCUCCUUCCUGAUGAACCGUAAUGCCAUUAAUUUGGCGUUGCGGGGAGACUGGACUGUUACUUUGAAAAAAUUAGAGUGUUUAAAGCAGGCUAACGCUUGAAUACAUUAGCAUGGAAUAAUGAAAUAGGACGUUCGAUCUUAUUUUGUUGGUUUCUAAGAUUGACGUAAUGAUUAAUAGGGAUAGUUGGGGGCAUUAGUAUUCAAUUGUCAGAGGUGAAAUUCUUGGAUUUAUUGAAGACUAACUACUGCGAAAGCUUUUGCCAAGGAUGUUUUCAUUAAUCAAGAACGAAAGUUAGGGGAUCGAAGACGAUCAGAUACCGUCGUAGUCUUAACCAUAAACUAUGCCGACUAGGAUCGGAUGAUGUUAAUUUUUUAAUGACUCAUUCGGCGCUUACGG
rnacentral:rRNA from 1 species